AAGCCUGAUGCAGCAACGCCGCGUGAGGGACGACGGCCUUCGGGUUGUAAACCUCUUUUAGCAGGGAAGAAGCGAAAGUGACGGUACCUGCAGAAAAAGCACCGGCUAACUACGUGCCAGCAGCCGCGGUAAUACGUAGGGUGCAAGCGUUAUCCGGAAUUAUUGGGCGUAAAGAGCUCGUAGGCGGUUUGUCGCGUCUGCUGUGAA
rnacentral:rRNA from 1 species